rnacentral:rRNA from 1 species
GGGAUUGCCCUAGUAACGGCGAGUGAAGCGGCAACAGCUCAAAUUUGAAAUCUGGCGCAAGCCCGAGUUGUAAUUUGUAGAGGAUGCUUCUGGGUAGCGGCCGGUCUAAGUUCCUUGGAACAGGACGUCAUAGAGGGUGAGAAUCCCGUAUGUGACUGGCUUGCACCCUCCACGUAGCUCCUUCGACGAGUCGAGUUGUUUGGGAAUGCAGCUCUAAAUGGGAGGUAAAUUUCUUCUAAAGCUAAAUACCGGCCAGAGACCGAUAGCGCACAAGUAGAGUGAUCGAAAGAUGAAAAGCACUUUGGAAAGAGAGUUAAAAAGCACGUGAAAUUGUUGAAAGGGAAGCGCCCGCAACCAGACUUUGCGGCGGUGUUCGGCUGGUCUUCUGACCGGUUUACUCGCCGCCGUGAGGCCAUCAUCGUCUGGGACCGCUGGAUAAGACCUGAGGAAUGUAGCUCCCUUCGGGGUGUGUUAUAGCCUUUGGUGAUGCAGCGCGUCUCGGGCGAGGUCCGCGCUUCGGCAAGGAUGAUGGCGUAAUGGUUGUCGGCGGCCCGUCUUGAAACACGGACCAAGGAGUCUAACAUCUAUGCGAGUGUUCGGGUGUCAAACCCCUACGCGUAAUGAAAGUGAACGGAGGUGGGAACUUUUUGUGCACCAUCGACCGAUCCUGAUGUCCUCGGAUGGAUUUGAGUAAGAGCAUAGCUGUUGGGACCCGAAAGAUGGUGAACUAUGCCUGAAUAGGGUGAAGCCAGAGGAAACUCUGGUGGAGGCUCGCAGCGGUUCUGACGUGCAAAUCGAUCGUCAAAUUUGGGUAUAGGGGCG